GCCGAAGUGGCGGAAUUGGUAGACGCGCAUGAUUCAGGGUCAUGUGUCCGUAAGGGCGUGGAAGUUCGAGUCUUCUCUUCGGCA
rnacentral:tRNA from 1 species